AUUCUCUCACCUGCCUUCUGCCCUUAAGCUCCGGUAGAUUGCAAAUAACCUGCUUUCUUUCUGUUCCCGAGCUGCGUUCGGACCCGUCGGAUCGUAAAUCCCACGUAAGGUCGGAAGAUUUGAACUUUCUACUUGGACACCUAACACCCACAGUCCUCCAGCUGCGUUCGGACCCGUCUGAUCGUAAAUCCCAUGUAAGGUACCUGCCGUCGGAAGAUUUGAACGUUCUACUUGGACACCUAAAACCCACAGUCCUCCAGGGUAGGAGUUCAUUCGAAUAAAGUUCACUUAAGACACACUUAUCUACAAACAGUCUUCAGAGAGGUGAUCGGAUGGAAGAUAUUAACAUGAUUCUGGAGUCUGCUAGGAGCUGCUCUGACUGGUGGCUACUGAGAUACCAGUGACGGGAAGGUGCUACAUCGUUAACAACAGUGCCUUUCAAAAAUGAUGAACUAUAAUCUACUGAAAACACAAGGACAAACCCUACUGUGAAGCAGUGGAGACUGGAGUCCUGCAUUUGCUGAACUUUCUUUUUAUGUGUUGGAUUCUGAUUUUAUAUUCAUUUCCAUUCAUGUGGACUCUGAAGAGUUAAACUCACCAAGGACACUUGAAGAAGUCACGUCCAGGGAUCACUGUCAUCACAAAUGGAGAAAAGGCCAAUGUCUUUCCAUGCUGCCUCACCAGAAAAGGACUGAGUUGGUACAGACCUUCACUCCAGCUUACUGUCCAUGACCUCGUCACACUCCAGGCCCAGGCUUGAGCUACAUGUUCUAGAAAGCCCCUAACUUCUCUAGGUCUCAAGUCUAAUCUCUGCAUCUGUGCCAGGUUCCCUGAGACUACUCUAAAGCUUGAUGAUUCACUAGGAUUCACAGGACUCAGAAAAGCUUACUUUUCUGAAUUAGAUGUACUGUUCUGAUAUAUUACAGCAAAAGGAUAUGAGUUCAAAUCAGAAUAAAAUAAAAGGUACAUGGGGCAGAGUCCAGGAGAAACCAG
rnacentral:lncRNA from 1 species